rnacentral:rRNA from 1 species
UACGUAGGGUGCGAGCGUUAAUCGGAAUUACUGGGCGUAAAGCGUGCGCAGGCGGUUUUGUAAGCCAGAUGUGAAAUCCCCAGGCUCAACCUGGGAACUGCAUCCGAUACUGGAUGGCUUGAAUUCGGGAGAGGGAUGCAGAAUUCCAGGUGUAGCGGUGAAAUGCGUAGAUAUCUGGAGGAAUACCGGUGGCGAAGGCGGCAUCCUGGACCGACAUUGACGCUGAACGGCGAAAGCUAGGGGAGCAAACGGG